ACAUUUUCUAAAUGUACAAAAACAUCAAUUUUAUGUUGCAUUUUCAUUCUUUAUGUGUUGUGAAACACUAUGUUGAUGAUAUGGGACGAAACAGUUAGUACAAUAAUACAGCUCAACUUACUCGGAGUAGCCCUUCCACUUCAGGAAGAA